CAAGUGUUAUUCCAUACAAAAAAAAAAAAGUCAAAAACUUAAAAAACGAAGACAGAGAUCAGAGUGCGAAGUAUAUUUUUUUGGCAAGUGCGUCGUCCAUUUUGUCUGCUCUGUGCUUGUGUGUGUGUGUGCGUGUGUCUGUACUUGUGUUGGCGUGUAUUUCCGGUCCAGUCAGUCAACACGUAUUUUUGGCCAAGACAACAACAACAACAGGGAGCAACGAGGAAUAAGGCUAACAGAAAGGACAACAAGCCGCAGCGAAUAUAACGGAAUAAAAGCGCGCGCAACAGACGCCACGCCCCCUCGACGCCGCCCACCCCCCCGCCAGAGGAGUGCUUCCGCUGCCAAACAAAGAGGACAUCAAAAAGGACAUCACUGACAAAGGAAGGACGCAUGUGACGAACGUCGAGAGAAGAGGCCCCUAAAAUAAAAAUUCGACCAAUUUGUGAAACCAAAAGUCUUGAAAUUCAACUGCUGCUGCAAACCGUAUGACUGAUUUUCUCGUUGAACCGACAGCUUGAUUACCUCCUUAGCGCUUUAUAUACCGUAUUAUAAACCUUUAUAUAUACCUUUAUACAAAUGGAAAACCAAUAACUCCGACUUUGGAGCUAGUUGAUUAUAAGCCACGCUAGAAUCUAACCCAGAAAG